GAUGAAGAACGCAGCGAAAUGCGAUAAGUAAUGUGAAUUGCAGAAUUCAGUGAAUCAUCGAAUCUUUGAACGCACCUUGCGCUCCUUGGUAUUCCGAGGAGCAUGCCUGUUUGAGUGUCAUUAAUAUAUCAACCUCUUCAGCUUAUGCUUGUUGAGUGUUGGAUGGUGGGGGUUUGCUGGUGUCUUAUGAAGUCAGCUCCUCUGAAAUGCAUUAGCGGAACAAUUUGUUGACCGUUCAUUGGUGUGAUAAAAAUAUCUACGCUAUUGACGUCAGUCAGUUCAGCUUCUAACAGUCCAUUGACUUGGACAAAUUUUUCAUUAAUGUGACCUCAAAUCAGGUAGGACUACCCGCUGAACUUAAGCAUAUCAAUAAACGGAGGA
rnacentral:misc_RNA from 1 species